rnacentral:rRNA from 1 species
UACGUAGGGCGCAAGCGUUGUCCGGAAUUAUUGGGCGUAAAGAGCUCGUAGGCGGUCUGUCGCGUCGGAUGUGAAAGCCCGGGGCUUAACCCCGGGUCUGCAUUCGAUACGGGCAGACUAGAGUGUGGUAGGGGAGAUCGGAAUUCCUGGUGUAGCGGUGAAAUGCGUACGAUAUCUGGAGGAACACCGGUGGCGAAGGCGGCAUCCUGGACCGAGAUUGACGCUGAGGCGCGAAAGCCAGGGGAGCAAAGCGGG